UACGUAGGGGGCAAGCGCUGUCCGGAAUCAUUGGGCGUAAAGCGCGCGUAGGCGGCCCGGUAAGUCCGCUGUAAAAGUCCAGGGCUCAACCCUGGAAAGCCGGUGGAUACUGUCGGGCUAGAGUCCGGAAGAGGCGAGUGGAAUUCCUGGUGUAGCGGUGGAAUGCGCAGAUAUCAGGAGGAACACCGGUGGCGAAGGCGGGACUCUGGGCCGAUACUGACGCUGAGGAGCGAAAGCGUGGGGAGCAAACAGG
rnacentral:rRNA from 1 species